CAUGCAAGUGAUGAUAGAAAUAGACGGGGACAAUUGCACUCUUCUUGACGAUGAUGACUGUCUUGGGAAUCUCUCUGAUGCAUU